rnacentral:rRNA from 1 species
CCUACGGGGGGCAGCAGUGGGGAAUAUUGGGCAAUGGGCGCAAGCCUGACCCAGCAACGUCGCGUGAAGGAAGAAGGCUCUCUGGUUGUAAACUCCUUUUAAGAGGGAAGAGCAGAAGACGGUACCUCUUGAAUAAGCCACGGCUAACUACGUGCCAGCAGCCGCGGUAAUACGGAGGUGGCGAGCGUUGUCCGGAUUUACUGGGUGUAAAGGGCGUGCAGGCGGGAAGACAAGUCAGAUGUGAAAUCCCGCGGCUCAACCGCGGAACUGCGUUUGAAACUGUUUUUCUUGAGAACGGGAGAGGUAAGCGGAAUUCCUGGUGUAGCGGUGAAAUGCGUAGAUAUAAGGAAGAACACCGAUGGCGAAGGCGGAUGACUGGACGGUAACUGACGGUGAGGCGCGAAAGCGUGGGGAGCAAACAGGAUUAGAUACCCGGGUAGUC